UUGGGUUCUGUUACUGGGUUGUUUUGAAUUUAAAAACCUUAAAGGAUUCUUUAAUAAAAGGAUGAAAUAAGAUAAUCAUUUUGAAGAAAUCAAGGCUAGUGUUUCUCAACAAUUCACGCUAAAAUUUUAUUCAAUCAAGAAAAGAAUCACUACAAUCAGCAAGAAUAUGGCAGAAAAUUGCAGUUUACUGCAUCUGGUGAUUAACUUGGCAUAAGCUAUUGUAUACAAAAAUCUUCC
rnacentral:lncRNA from 1 species